rnacentral:lncRNA from 9 species
UGGGUUGGGUGACUGUUGACUGAUUGUCUGUCCCAGUGAAUGACUGAUUUAAAAAGGACCUUUAAAAGCGGACAGCAGUAGUUUUGUAUGUGUAAGUGUGGUCGGGAGCAUGGUUAGUAGCAGAGACUCGCCCUCCUUGAAGGAGACUUUGGCAGCUGUGGUCAGAGUGCACGUAAGAGUUUUUCCAGGAAAAUUCGAAGGCUUUCUCCAAGAUGACCUCUGUGUUUUUCCUUUGGGACCUGGGACUAAAGGAAUUUUACAUUUGGGUUUUCUGUGGACAGACAGACAAUGAAAAACCUUUGAGUCUGUAGAGCGCGGGAGGCUUAGAUGCUGUCACUAAGAAUGUGCUUUUCUCUAGAUGCUGGAUGAGGAGGACACUGACAAAGACGGGAUGAGUUUGGAGGUCGACACUCCAGUGACGAACCAUCGGGGUGACGACGACGAUGACGAAGAAGAUCUCCCCGAGAUAGUGCUGGAUGACGUGCCUGCGGUGAGGGUGGCGGGACGGCCUCCAUUCGCUCCGCGGGUAAGUUGGGUUUUUAGUCUGAGCUCGCAGUGUUGCUCUAUUUCCCCUCCGUGGACAUUAAGUUAUGACAGCCUGAGCCUGCACGUUCCAGACCAUGUGGACGGUUCCGAGGGUUGGGACUCCAUGUCAGGCGCGUCUGUUGCCAACUCCCGAUGCCUGCUUCCGCAGGGCAAUGCGAUAACAACACCUGUCCCAGCCUGCAGAGGACAGAGCUCCUUCUCCAGAAGCAUCUUUUCCUCGAGGAAAGAGUUCUGUCAUCUCCAACUGACAUGGCCUUGGACAUCCCGUCGUCUAGGACAAGUUCUUGCCUUUGUCCCCGAGGAGGGUUUGCUCUGCCUUUGCUGGGUUCUCUGGACUCCACCGCUGUUGUGCAUCGGGGUUUCUGCUG